CCUACGGGGGGCAGCAAUUAGGAAUCUUGCGCAAUGGGGGAAACCCUGACGCAGCGACGCCGCGUGCAGGACGAAGGCCUUCGGGUUGUAAACUGCUUUUAAGAGGGAAGAAGGCGCUUUUUAGGAGCGUUUGACGGUACCUCUUGAAUAAGCCCCGGCUAACUACGUGCCAGCAGCCGCGGUAAUACGUAGGGGGCGAGCGUUGUCCGAAGUCACUGGGCGUAAAGCGCGCGUAGGCGGGCCACUAAGUCGGAUGGGAAAUUUCCACGGCUCAACCGGGAAAGUGCAUCCGAUACUGGUGGUCUUGAGGCGGGGAGAGGGAAGUGGAAUCCCUGGUGUAGCGGUAAAAGGCGUAGAUAUCAGGAGGAACACCCGUGGCGAAGGCGGCUUCCUGGCCAUGGCCUGACGCUGAGGUGCGAAAGCGUGGGGAGCAAACAGGAUUAGAUCCCCCGGUAGU
rnacentral:rRNA from 1 species